rnacentral:ncRNA from 2 species
GUGAAUAUAGCGUGAGAUAACAAUUUGUUAACCGAAGAAGCAAUGAUAUAGUUCCACGGCUACAUCAGAAACUUUCAGGUACCCAUAGCGCUAUAGGACG